UACAACACAAAAGAUUUGUAAUUUCCUUUGGGCUUUGACCUGUUAGACAGCUGAAAAUUCUCCCAAAGAAAAUUGCUGAGUAAAAUACGAGCCUUUAAAGUAUCUCUGGUGCAUACUCAGCAGGGACCCUCAAGAGAAUUUUCACUAGAGGCGUGAAUCUUAUGUGGGUUCACAGCGGUGGCAUCAGGAAAAUGGGGGGCCGGCCCACUUUUUGGCAUUUCCUUCUAAUCAUCUAUUGAACUUGCCCCGGGUAAUGACCUAAUUCUCAUUGAGCUCCCCAGUGAGCCACUGUGCUUCCAUCUCUAGCCGCUGCCUUCUGCUUCCCUUCACUCAUCGCUGCAUUUAUUGACUUCCAAAAGAUGCAAAGCGACAGACUUGGAGGCAAGCAGAAGGAACCAUCAGCUUGAUAAUGGCAGCAUGAGAAGACUCACGUGAGAGAGGAGUCAGUGCAGUCCCUCACGCCUGACUUCAUCAUCAUAGGUCUACCCAGCUGUAAGGGAUGUGUUGUGAAAAUGAAAUCCGGCGAGGCAGGAAGCACGACCUUCUUAUACUCCUCAUCACUCCCCAGUCAUAUGGCAAUGUUCCUGAUGAAGCACCCCGUUAUUCCUGCACCGAAGACUAAUCAAGAAAUAAAUUGUCCAGACUGCAGGCGACCCCCUGCCUAUCCCACUGCCUGUCACUUGGACUAAUCCCCUGUCAUCGUUGGGAAAGUGUAAUGGACGGCAAUCCUCUGAAGCAUUCCACAAAGUAAUAUUCUCAGUGAUGAGACUAUCUUCAAAGAGAAGAAAAACUCUGACACCACAAAUCCUUUACUUUUCUCACCAUUAAUCAUAUUAUCCUUAUACUGUAGUGUAGUUUUUUUAGGGGAGUUGGUGAGACACAUUAUCAACUGCUCUUGACAAAGUACAUUAAAUUGAUAAAGAUUGUAUGUAAAAUGGCGGGACUGGUGUACAAAGGAAGCCAGAUCAUCAUAAUCCUCUGAUAGCUGGAAUCCCAUUAGCUACGGGUCCGUGAUUUACAAUGAGAAGGGUCAGAUUACUGCUGCGAUCCAGCAUCAUAAGCUGUUGACACCACUCCGCUGCACUACCUACACCAGUGUGGAAAUCUCCAGCAGAUCACAGCACGUUUCUGUUCAUCUAAACUGCGAUGGAGACGAGCCACACAUUCUGAUCAACGAGCACAUGAUCAGCUUUUGUUAUGUACAGUCUCGGUAAGGACAGAGAUAGAUAUCUCAUUAGAACAGUCCUUGAGAAACUAAUGUUUAGCAUACUAAACUGGAGGUUGCCUUUUAUGUCAUAAACACUCCCAUUGCUGUAAUAUUGGUACACUGAUUGUGCAGUUCACAUAAUUCUCUCGAAAGUGCAUGUGUGAUUACACAUGCACUGUAGAAACACUCUCACUCAGAGGUUCAGAGUCUCGCAUUAGCACAUGAACAUACCAUACUUCAAUGAUAGACCUUUUAAAUGAUCUGCCAUUAACAGAAAGUCUCUACAUACUGUACAUUUUCUAAUACUACUAUACUAUAGUAUGGUUUAGAGUACUAGAGCUUUACGGGAGAAAUUACCAUUUUUUGCUAUUUUAUCCUUCUUUUUCACUACAUUUCAGAAUAAAAUAUUAUACUUUUUA